rnacentral:rRNA from 1 species
ACUCCUACGGAGGCAGGCAGCAGUGGGGAAUAUUGCACAAUGGGCGCAAGCCUGAUGCAGCCAUGCCGCGUGUAUGAAGAAGGCCCUAGGGUUGUAAAGUACUUUCAGUCAAGAGGAAGGCGUUGAUGCUAAUAUCAUCAACGAUUGACGUUACCGACAGAAGAAGCACCGGCUAACUCCGUGCCAGCAGCCGCGGUAAU